rnacentral:rRNA from 1 species
AUUGAACGCUGGCGGCAGGCUUAACACAUGCAAGUCGAGCGGGGAAGGGUAGCUUGCUACCUGACCUAGCGGCGGACGGGUGAGUAAUGCUUAGGAAUCUGCCUAUUAGUGGGGGACAACAUUCCGAAAGGAAUGCUAAUACCGCAUACGCCCUACGGGGGAAAGCAGGGGAUCUUCGGACCUUGCGCUAAUAGAUGAGCCUAAGUCAGAUUAGCUAGUUGGUGGGGUAAAGGUCUACCAAGGCGACGAUCUGUAGCGGGUCUGAGAGGAUGAUCCGCCACACUGGGACUGAGACACGGCCCAGACUCCUACGGGAGGCAGCAGUGGGGAAUAUUGGACAAUGGGCGCAAGCCUGAUCCAGCCAUGCCGCGUGUGUGAAGAAGGCCUUUUGGUUGCAAAGCACUUUAAGCGAGGAGGAGGCUACUUGGAUUAAUACUCUAGGAUAGUGGACGUUACUCGCAGAAUAAGCACCGGCUAACUCUGUGCCAGCAGCCGCGGUAAUACAGAGGGUGCGAGCGUUAAUCGGAUUUACUGGGCGUAAAGCGUGCGUAGGCGGCUUUUUAAGUCGGAUGUGAAAUCCCUGAGCUUAACUUAGGAAUUGCAUUCGAUACUGGGAAGCUAGAGUAUGGGAGAGGAUGGUAGAAUUCCAGGUGUAGCGGUGAAAUGCGUAGAGAUCUGGAGGAAUACCGAUGGCGAAGGCAGCCAUCUGGCCUAAUACUGACGCUGAGGUACGAAAGCAUGGGGAGCAAACAGG